GGAGAGGUGGCUGAGUGGCCGAAAGCACCGCUUUGCUAAAGCGGCGUCUGGGUAUUCCCCGGACCCAGGGUUCGAAUCCCUGCCUCUCCG
rnacentral:tRNA from 1 species